UCACUGCAUUACAUGAAGUGGAUGAUGUUACAAUGUACUUCUAUGACAGGUAAGGAACAGACAGAUGACUAGUUAUCUAUAAUUAGGUAAACACUGGUCACUGUCUAUGUUUCUACUUUCUAUUUAAAGUCCACCUUUUUCCUACAGUAAAUACUACUUGAACUGGCAAGUAUACAUGUCAAUGUGAGAAUGAAUAAAGCAAUCUGGCCGGAACCAGGCGACCCUACUACUUAUGAAGUGGUACAGUGACAAGGUGGGCGCUUCAUCGUCAAGAGUGAUCGGUCUUGCUAUACCUGAGUUGGUUGUUGUCGAAAAUGCUCAUUUAACUACAAGUUCCAUGGCAGUAUGUUACACCAAGAAGACCUGUUCCGUAAACAAUCAAUUUCCUUUGUAUUGUCACUGUACAAUAUUUUUGUCUUUCCUUCUAACUGUUUAACGUUAGAAUUAACUGUUGUCACUUUUCCCUUAAAAUUAAUGUCACUGUUAACAUUUUUAAGUUGUUUAUAACCUA